CUUGGCGGCCAUAGCAAGGUGGAACCACCCCUUCCCAUCCCGAACAGGACCGUGAAACGCCUCCGCGCCGAUGAUAGUGUGCAUUACGCAUGUGAAAGUAGGUCACCGCCAAGC
rnacentral:rRNA from 1 species